rnacentral:rRNA from 1 species
GUGAAGCGGCAAAAGCUCAAAUUUGAAAUCUAGUACCUUUGGUGCUCGAGUUGUAAUUUGUAGAGGGAUACUUUUGGGCCGUUCCUUAUCUAUGUUCCUUGGAACAGGACGUCAUAGAGGGUGAGAAUCCCGUAUGAUGAGGAGUGCGGUUCUAUGUAAAGUGCUCUCGAAGAGUCGAGUUGUUUGGGAAUGCAGCUCUAAGUGGGUGGUAAAUUCCAUCUAAAGCUAAAUAUUGGCGAGAGACCGAUAGCGAACAAGUACAGUGAUGGAAAGAUGAAAAGAACUUUGAAAAGAGAGUGAAAAAGUACGUGAAAUUGUUGAAAGGGAAGGGCAUUUGAUCAGACAUGGUGUUUUGCGCCCUCUGCUCCUUGUGGGUAGGGGACUCUCGCAGUUCACUGGGCCAGCAUCAGUUUUGGCGGCAGGAUAAAUCCUUUGGAAUGUAGCUUGCUUCGGGAAGUGUUAUAGCCAAGGGGAAUACUGCCAGCUGGGAUUGAGGACUGCGACUUUUAGUCAAGGAUGCUGGCAUAAUGGUUAUAUGCCGCCCGUCUUGAAACACGGACCAAGGAGUCUAACGUCUAUGCAAGUGUUUGGGUGUAAAACCCGUACGCGUAAUGAAAGUGAACGUAGGUUGGGGCCUGUCAAAGGGUGCACAAUCGACCGAUCCUGAUGUUUUCAGAUGGAUUUGAGUAAGAGCAUAGCUGUUGGGACCCGAAAGAUGGUGAACUAUGCCUGAAUAGGGUGAAGCCAGAGGAAACUCUGGUGGAGGCUCGUAGCGGUUUCUGACGUGCAAAUC